rnacentral:rRNA from 1 species
GAUGAACGCUAGCGGCAGGCUUAAUACAUGCAAGUCGUGGGGCAGCAUGAGUAGCAAUACUUGAUGGCGACCGGCAAACGGGUGAGGAACACGUACACAACCUUCCUUCAAGCGGGGAAUAGCCCAGAGAAAUUUGGAUUAAUACCCCAUAAUAUAUUUGAUAAGGCAUCUUAUUAAUAUUAAAGCUUCGGCACUUGAUGAUGGGUGUGCGGCUGAUUAGAUAGUUGGCGGGUAACGGCCCACCAAGUCUACGAUCAGUAGCUGAUGUGAGAGCAUGAUCAGCCACACGGGCACUGAGACACGGGCCCGACUCCUACGGGAGGCAGCAGUAAGGAAUAUUGGACAAUGGACGAAAGUCUGAUCCAGCCAUGCCGCGUGAAGGAUUAAAGGUCCUCUGGAUUGUAAACUUCUUUAUAUGGGACGAAAAAGGCAUUUCUUGUUCACUUGACGGUACCAUAUGAAUAAAGCACCGGCUAAACUCCGUGCCAGCAG